rnacentral:rRNA from 1 species
GACAGAGGGGGCAAGCGUUGCUCGGAAUUACUGGGCGUAAAGGGCGCGUAGGCGGAAUGGCAAGUCGGUCGUGAAAUCCCUCGGCUCAACCGAGGAACGUCGAUCGAUACUGCUGUUCUUGAGGAUUGCAGAGGAGACUGGAAUUCCCGGUGUAGCGGUGAAAUGUGUAGAGAUCGGGAGGAACACCGGUGGCGAAGGCGGGUCUCUGGGCAAUUCCUGACGCUGAGGCGCGAAAGCGUGGGGAGCAAACAGG